CCUAACCUACGGGAGGCAGCAGUAGGGAAUCUUCCACAAUGGGCGAAAGCCUGAUGGAGCAACGCCGCGUGGGUGAAGAAGGUCUUCGGAUCGUAAAACCCUGUUGUUAGAGAAGAAAGCGCGUGAGAGUAACUGUUCACGUUUCGACGGUAUCUAACCAGAAGGCCACGGCUAACUACGUGCCAGCAGCCGCGGUAAUACGUAGGUGGCAAGCGUUAUCCGGAUUUAUUGGGCGUAAAGGGAACGCAGGAGGUCUUUUAAGUCUGCUG
rnacentral:rRNA from 1 species